GGGGGUGUUACGGCUUCGACGAUGAAUCGUAGGAUAGGGUCGCAGGUCGGGGAUGAUGGUUGGCCCCGUAACAAUCCAUCAAAACACUAAAUGGCGUUACAAGCAGAAAGAGGAGGAGAGUCAUGAAGCUCUGCUUCUCCGGCAAAGCCAAACUCGCCGCUUAAUUAAAGGCGGCACACGAGGACUUCCGAUACUCGCUGAGGGGGCCUCGUGUCGAUUCGAGCGAGUCGGGGAUUCACCGGUGCACGGGUGAGUUUCCGUAGCUCUGUGCACUCGUCACCGAGCGGCUGGUUGCCCGACGGUUCGGUGAUUAAAUCUCCAGGCAGCUAAGCCUGUAGAAGCCCUAUGCGAAAAUUUAUGGGACGCGGGUUCGAUUCCCGCCACCUCCACCA
rnacentral:tmRNA from 1 species